AUCCAGCUGACGAAUCCCCAAUGGGACGAAGUGUGCAUCCAGGAU
rnacentral:hammerhead_ribozyme from 1 species